rnacentral:rRNA from 1 species
UACGGAGGGUGCGAGCGUUGUCCGGAAUUACUGGGCGUAAAGGGCGCGUAGGCGGCCUUCUAAGUCAGACGUGAAAUCCCCAGGCUUAACUUGGGAACUGCGUCUGAUACUGGGAGGCUUGAGUGCGGGAGAGGGAUGUGGAAUUCCUGGUGUAGCGGUGAAAUGCGCAGAUAUCAGGAGGAACACCAAUUGCGAAGGCAGCUCGCUGGGACGUUACUGACGCUGAGACGCGAAAGCGUGGGGAGCAAACAGG